rnacentral:rRNA from 1 species
CCUACGGGUGGCAGCAGUGGGGAAUAUUGCACAAUGGGGGAAACCCUGAUGCAGCGACGCCGCGUGAGUGAAGAAGGAUUUCGGUAUGUAAAGCUCUAUCAGCAGGGAAGAAAAUGACGGUACCUGACUAAGAAGCCCCGGCUAACUACGUGCCAGCAGCCGCGGUAAUACGUAGGGGGCAAGCGUUAUCCGGAUUUACUGGGUGUAAAGGGAGCGUAGACGGCAGCACAAGUCUGGAGUGAAAUGCCGGGGCUUAACCCCGGAACUGCAUUGGAAACUGUGCAGCUAGAGUGCAGGAGAGGUAAGUGGAAUUCUUGGUGUAGCGGUGAAAUGCGUAGAGAUUAGGAGGAACACCAGUGGCGAAGGCGGCUUACUGGACUGUAACUGACGUUGAGGCUCGAAAGCGUGGGGAGCAAACAGGAUUAGAUACCCCUGUAGUC